rnacentral:rRNA from 1 species
UACGUAGGGUCCGAGCGUUGUCCGGAAUUAUUGGGCGUAAAGGGCUCGUAGGCGGUUUGUUGCGUCGGAAGUGAAAUCUUACAGCUUAACUGUGAACUUGCUUUCGAUACGGGCAGACUUGAGGCAUUCAGGGGAGAACGGAAUUCCUGGUGUAGCGGUGAAAUGCGCAGAUAUCAGGAGGAACACCGGUGGCGAAGGCGGGUCUCUGGGCCGAUAUUGACGCUGAGGAGCGAAAGCGUGGGGAGCGAACAGG